CAGAGGGUGCAAGCGUUGUUCGGAAUUACUGGGCGUAAAGCGCGCGCAGGCGGGUCUUGCAAGUCAGAAGUGAAAUCUCAUUGCUCAACGAUGAGGCUGCUUUUGAUACUGCGGAUCUGGAGACCGGUAGAGGCUGGUAGAAUUGCAGGUGUAGCGGUGGAAUGCGUAGAGAUCUGCAAGAAUACCCGUGGCGAAGGCGGCCAGCUGGGCCGGUUCUGACGCUGAGGCGCGAAAGCGUGGGGAGCAAACAGGAUUAGAUACCCUGGUAGUCCACGCCGUAAACGAUGGGCACUAGGUGCUGGGGGGAGCGACCCCGUCAGUGCCGUAGCUAACGCGAUAAGUGCCCCGCCUGGGGAGUACGGCCGCAAGGCUG
rnacentral:rRNA from 1 species